rnacentral:rRNA from 1 species
CUACGGGCGGCAGCAGUAAGGAAUAUUGCUCAAUGGAGGCAACUCUGACGCAGCCAUGCCGCGUGCAGGAAGAAGGCCUUAUGGGUCGUAAACUGCUUUUAUUUAGGAAUAAACCCCCGAACGUGUUCGGGGCUGAAGGUACUAAACGAAUAAGCACCGGCUAACUCCGUGCCAGCAGCCGCGGUAAUACGGAGGGUGCAAGCGUUAUCCAGAUUUAUUGGGUUUAAAGGGUGCGCAGGCGGGCUAUUAAGUCAGUGGUGAAAUCCCGGGGCUCAACUCCGGAACUGCCAUUGAUACUGAUAGUCUUGAGUUUGGUUGAAGUGGGCGGAAUGUAGCAUGUAGCGGUGAAAUGCAUAGAUAUGCUACAGAACACCAAUCGCGAAGGCAGCUCACUAAGCCAAAACUGACGCUCAUGCACGAAAGCGUGGGGAUCAAACAGGAUUAGAUACCCCUGUAGUC